CCUUCGGGUGGCAGCAGUGGGGAAUAUUGCACAAUGGGGGAAACCCUGAUGCAGCGACGCCGCGGGAAGGAAGAAGUAUUUCGGUAUGUAAACUUCUAUCAGCAGGGAAGAAAAUGACGGUACCUGACUAAGAAGCCCCGGCUAACUACGUGCCAGCAGCCGCGGUAAUACGUGGGGGGCAAGCGUUAUCCGGAUUUACUGGGUGUAAAGGGAGCGUAGGCGGUGAUGCAAGUCAGAAGUGAAAGCCCGAAGCUCAACUGCGUGACUGCUUUUGAAACUGUAUGACUAGAUUGCAGGAGAGGUAAGUGGAAUUCCUAGAGUAGCGGUGAAAUGCGUAGAUAUUAGGAGGAACACCAGUGGCGAAGGCGGCUUACUGGACUGUAAAUGACGCUGAGGCUCGAAAGCGUGGGGAGCAAACAGGAUUAGAUACCCGAGUAGUC
rnacentral:rRNA from 1 species